rnacentral:rRNA from 1 species
UACGUAGGGUGCAAGCGUUAAUCGGAAUUACUGGGCGUAAAGCGUGCGCAGGCGGUUAUGUAAGACAGAUGUGAAAUGCCCGGGCUCAACCUGGGAACUGCAUUUGUGACUGCAUGGCUAGAGUGUGUCAGAGGGGGGGUAGAAUUCCACGUGUAGCAGUGAAAUGCGUAGAGAUGUGGAGGAAUACCGAUGGCGAAGGCAGCCCCCCUGGGAUAACACUGACGCUCAUGCACGAAAGCGUGGGGAGCAAACAGG